rnacentral:rRNA from 1 species
GGUGAACGCUGGCGGCGUGCCUAACACAUGCAAGUCGAGCGAAGCGCCUUACUUGAUUUCUUCGGGAUGAAAGUAUUGUGACUGAGCGGGCGACGGGUGAGGUAACGCGUGGAUAACCUGCCUCAUACAGGGGGAUAACAGUUAGAAAUGACUGCUAAUACCGCAUAAGACCACAGCACCGCAUGGUGCAGGGGUAAAAACUCCGGUGGUAUGAGAUGGGUCCGCGUCUGAUUAGCUAGUUGGUAAGGUAACGGCUUACCAAGGCGACGAUCAGUAGCCGGUCUGAGAGGAUGAACGGCCACAUUGGGACUGAGAUACGGCCCAG